rnacentral:rRNA from 1 species
CCUACGGGAGGCAGCAGUGAGGAAUAUUGGUCAAUGGGCGCAAGCCUGAACCAGCCAAGUCGCGUGAGGGAUGACGGCCCUACGGAUUGUAAACCUCUUUUGUCGGGGAGCAAGGCCCGCCACGUGUGGCGGGAAGGAGAGUACCCGAAGAAAAAGCAUCGGCUAACUCCGUGCCAGCAGGCGCGGUAAUACGGAGGAUGCGAGCGUUAUCCGGAUUUAUUGGGUUUAAGGGGUGCGUAGGCGGAAGUUUAAGUCAGCGGGAAAAUGUCGGUGCGCAACGCCGGCCUGCCGUUGAAACUGGUCUUCUUGAGUGAGCGAGAAGUAUGCGGAAUGCGUGGUGUAGCGGUGAAAUGCAUAGAUAUCACGCAGAACUCCGAUUGCGAAGGCAGCAGACCGGCGCGCAACUGACGCUGAGGCACGAAAGCGUGGGGAUCGAACAGGAUUAGAUACCCCUGUAGUC